ensembl:lncRNA
UAAACUAUAGUUUAAUUCUGUUUUUGACCACGUCCUCUCAGACAUUAUAAACUAUAGUUUAAUUCUGUGUUUGACCACGUCCUCUCAGACAUUUUAAACUAGAUUAGUUAAUCAGUCACCUCAUCAGCCCAGUCCAAAGGUCAACUAAAGCUUUACUUUAGACGCUCCAUUUUGUUUUCAUUGGGAAGGCUGCCUUUCAGCGACAGAAAAACAAAGUAACCAAGAUAUGUUGACGAAAGAUCUCUGAAAGCGUCAGCAUGCAGCAUAAGUUUGAAUGGGUAUGACAGCACUGCAAUUAUUAAAUAUACGAAAUAAAUCAGCCAAUCUCGAGUGACGCGUCUAAAUGGUGGUGCUACAAUUAAAAUGGGAGUAGGCCUACACAGCCUUCAGAAAACUUUUUUGUAUUGACUGUCUUGAAUAAUAUUAGCAUGAAUUUUGACUAAGUCACACUCAUGCUGCAAUGAAGCAGUGAAGCAGUGAUGUUGUUGAUGACCUUGGCCUUGCAAAAUGUCCAUAUUCAUGAACCAUGGAGCAUAAACAUUUUACUCCACAUCCAUUCAAUUUACCCACUCAAUUGUGACAUCUAUUGUUAGAGGCAAACCGAUAUAUGAACACUGUCUUCAGAUACUUGGCCUGGAUUUACUUAUUUCCAAGAUUCAAUGCUACCGAGAAUGUUGCCGUAAAUGCGAAGUUCAAACAUGUAAAAGUUUGACACCAAAUGCAGAGGACAGAAUGGAUCAGCAUCAGGGCUACAGCAGCCUUCUAGUGGUAUUACAGUACUUUGGUGGACUGUAUCUUGUGUUGAUGUAUGAAAUUUACUGCAUUGGAAAUACUGCAGUAAAUACGUAGCAUAUUCAAGCCUAUAUAGUGCAGUAACACGUGCAAUUUUAGCAUAUGGCUGUAAUGAAACAUAUUGCAGCAUUUUAGAAUUAUUUAUUCACUGUAAUAUUACAAACUUUAUUACUGUAGUCCAAAGAAGUGUUUGUCUGUGUGUGAUGCAACACUACAGUAAUCUAUUCCAAACUGGAGGAUACAGCAACAUUUGAUAUAUGCAAUUGGCAAUGCUUCAAGUUGUUAGUGUUUUUUAGGUCAUUGUACUCUGAGAGAGAACAUGUGCUAAAGUUACGGCAGCAUGAGUUGUGUUUUGGUGGUUGUAGUGCAUUUUGCACCUAAGGUUAACUGAUAUGCGGAGGUGUGUGUCUGUAAAGCCCACUGUGUGAAGUGUUUUGGGAAAAGUGUUCAUGGUAUUGAGACAAGAGUUAAAAUGAUUGGAAAAAACUGUAAGGUUCAGAAACUAGGGUGACAAUGUGACUGAAUAAAUUAUUCAUUCAUUCAUUCAUUCAUUUAUUUGCCAUGGACGUUACAGCAGCAUUAGAACUGAAACAUUCAACUAUGCAUAAGCACCAGAUGCCCUGUGUUUAGUGUUUGUAGCGAAACGGCUUAUUUACAACACCUGUCCACGGGAGGCUUUUUAAAAGAAGAAAAGGAUAAGAAAGGAAAACAAGAAGAAUAAAAUAUAAUACAGGUAUACAAAUACAACCUAAUAAAAACACAGGUGUGUCUAUGCAAGGAUAUGAAGUGUGAGAACAACAUGAUUUAACACAUUGGAAACAGUGAAGUUGUGUUGUGGUUCAAAAAUGUAUUUUCGGACCAGCGUUCUCUGCCGAUCACCGCCGAUUACCGACGAUUACAGCGCUCACCAGCUUUCACACAACGCUCUUCUGGCGCUAUACCAGCGACCAUGGACGAUUAUCAACGUUUCCUCUAACGUCAUAGAACAUUGACCAGAACGUUAUGGUGUGACGGGGCCUUUAAGGUCACUUUUGUCCUCGUCGCCAAUAUUCCUGUGGUGUAU